CGGGGCGUAGCGCAGUCUGGUAGCGCAUCUGCUUUGGGAGCAGAGGGUCGCAUGUUCGAAUCAUGUCGCCCCGA
rnacentral:tRNA from 1 species